CGCCCUCCCUGGGGGCCCAGGGGGGCUGAUCCCCCGGCGGGGGCGGCUUGGUUGCAUUGGCACCGCUAGGGGGGCUGAAGCACUUAGAACGGGGCAGCCGACAUUCAGGACCCAAGAGGCCCGAGCAGCAGGGCCGAGGGCGGGCAGGGCACAGAGGGGCGGGUGCUAGGGGGGGAGAUGGGGGAAGCCUGAUUGACUGGCCCCUGUGGGGUCUGUGGGGUCUGUGGGGCCUCGGGCAGGAAGGAAGCUGCAAGACUCAUUCACCCUGCAGACCCAGGCAGGGUAGGUAGCCAGAAGCGGCUGCCCCUGGGACACACUUAAACUGUGGGUCAUUAGAAACGUGUAUCUGCUCCCUGAAGCCACUAGACCCAGUGGGGUCACUGGGGAUUCAUGCCUGUGGUGCAGUGACACAAGACGAGAGUCAGGAGCUCAUUAUAGGCCCCCUCUCCGCACCCAGGAAGGGAAGAGGCUUCCAAGAGCAGUGAGGUCGGCCUGGAGGCUGGCAGCCCCUGAACCACUUCUCAGCCCGAUGGACACAGGUUCCGUGAUUGCGUAAGGAAUCCAGUUCCCCCUGAGAUCUCUUCCUGACUCUCCGCACCUCUACAACCCAAGCUUCUCCCUGAUAUCUGCUCCAAUCCGUAGGCUGGGAUUUGCAUCCACUGGCAUCUUGUGUCCUGCAGGUGUGAGAAAGCCGGCCCCUGUCUAUAUUGGACAGCCCUUUAGCCCACCACCCUUGGCCGACCUUCUCAAAUGACGGCCCAUUUCCCAUCUUCAUUUCGCUCCCACUAUAGGCAGACUCUCCAGGAGGAAUGGGGCCAUUUGGUGCCCUGAGUGUGGGACCUCUCCACUCGAGUUGCUCCAGGAGCCAGCCCACACCCGGCCCACGUCCCUCACCUCACCACACCCCUCCCUUCUCUGCCACUAGACACUUAAAGAAGCAUUUUUGUCCAUAGAAAUCCCAAACCACAAAGACCACCAGCGGCUGGCAACACAGAGCCAAAGGAACCCACUUAUAAAAAGGUGAAUAAAGUCCAAAUCCUGUGCACACUUUUCUCCACUUCUCAGCUUGCCUCUUUCCUCAGCAGACUUCAUCAUGUCAGAGUCUUAGCGGUGAGCAUCUGCAUUGGCUGUGGAAGGAAACCUUGCAUCUCCCACACAACGGAUCUGGGCAAGGCAAAGGAGCAUGAAGAGCCACAGGCCACCGGGGGCUUCUCAGACCUGGUCCAGGCACCAUCCUGCCUACUACGGGAGUUGAAGAUUAUGCUUUCAUAAGGACUUCUUCGGGCAA
rnacentral:lncRNA from 12 species